AGAGUUUGAUCCUGGCUCAGAUUGAACGCUGGCGGCAUGGUUAAAGCAUGCAAGUCGAACGCGAAAGUAACUUCGGUUGCAAGUAGAGUGGCGAACGGGUGAGUAAUGCGUUUCUAACGUGCCCUGAGGUUGGGGAUAGCUGGAGGAAACUCCAGGUAAUACCUAAUAAUCUCGAUGGAUCGUAUGUUCUGUCGAGCAAAGAUUUAUUGCCUUUGGAUCGGGAAACGUGGUAUCAGGUUGUUGGUGGGGUAAUGGCCUACCAAGCCAAAGACGCCUAGCGGGUGUGAGAGCAUGACCCGCCACAUCGGGACUGAGACACUGCCCGGACUCCUACGGGAGGCUGCAGCGACGAAUCUUCCGCAAUGCGCGAAAGCGUGACGGAGCAAUGCCGCGUGUGGGAUGAAGGCCUCCGGUGUGUAAACCACUGUCAGGGUUUAGGAAAUUUUGACCAGACCCAAAGGAAGGGCCGGCUAACUUCGUGCCAGCAGCCGCGGUAAUACGAAGGGCCCGAGCGUUGAUCGGAAUCAUUGGGCUUAAAGGGUGCGCAGGCGGGAUCGUUAGUGUCUUGUGAAAUCCCACGGCUCAACCGUGGAACUGCAGGGCAUACUGCGAUCCUUGAGGUCGGUAGGGGCUGUCGGAACUCUAGGUGUAGCGGUGAAAUGCGUAGAUAUCUAGAGGAACGCCAAUGGCGAAGGCAGACAGCUGGGCCGAUUCUGACGCUGAGGCACGAAAGCGUGGGUAGCGAACAGGAUUAGAUACCCUGGUAGUCCACGCCGUAAACGAUGAGCACUAGAUCCUGGAGGUUCUGACACCGUCAGGGUCGAAGUAAAAACAUUAAAUGUACCGCCUGGGGAGUACGGUCGCAAGGCUAAAACUCAAAGGAAUUGACGGGGGCUCACACAAGCGGUGGAGCAUGUGGCUUAAUUCGAAGCAACGCGAAGAACCUUAUCCUGGAUUUGACAUGUAUGGAUUAGCUCUGAGAAACCAGAGUGACGCCCUUUGGGUGGAACAUACACAGGUGCUGCAUGGCUGUCGUCAGCUCGUGCUGUGAAGUGUUGGGUUAAGUCCCUUAACGAGCGCAACCCCUAUCUCUAGUUGCCAGCGAGUAAUGUCGGGGACUCUAGAGAGACUGCCGGUGUCAAACCGGAGGAAGGUGGGGAUGACGUCAAGUCCUCAUGGCCUUUAUGCCCUGGGCUGCACACGUGCUACAAUGGCAGGUACAAAGCGACGCGAUACGGUAACGUGGAGCAAAUCGCAGAAAGCCUGCCCCAGUUCGGAUUGUGGUCUGCAACUCGACCACAUGAAGUUGGAAUCGCUAGUAAUCGCGUAUCAGCUACGACGCGGUGAAUACGUUCCUGAGCCUUGUACACACCGCCCGUCAAGUCAUGGAAGCCGGGAGCGCCCGAAGCCGUACCGAUUCAGGUAUGUCGACGGUGAGCUUGGUGACUGGGACUAAGUCGUAACAAGGUAGCC
rnacentral:rRNA from 1 species